GACGAACGCUGGCGGCGUGCUUAACACAUGCAAGUCGAACGGAAAGGCCCUGCUUUUGUGGGGUGCUCGAGUGGCGAACGGGUGAGUAACACGUGAGUAACCUGCCCUUGACUUUGGGAUAACUUCAGGAAACUGGGGCUAAUACCGGAUAGGAGCUCCUGCUGCAUGGUGGGGGUUGGAAAGUUUCGGCGGUUGGGGAUGGACUCGCGGCUUAUCAGCUUGUUGGUGGGGUAGUGGCUUACCAAGGCUUUGACGGGUAGCCGGCCUGAGAGGGUGACCGGCCACAUUGGGACUGAGAUACGGCCCAGACUCCUACGGGAGGCAGCAGUGGGGAAUAUUGCACAAUGGGCGGAAGCCUGAUGCAGCAACGCCGCGUGCGGGAUGAAGGCCUUCGGUUGUAAACCGCUUUCGCCUGUGACGAAGCGUGAGUGACGGUAAUGGGUAAAGAAGCACCGGCUAACUACGUG
rnacentral:rRNA from 1 species